rnacentral:rRNA from 1 species
AACCUUUACACUGCACGACAGUGCGAUAGGGGGACUCCGAGUGCGAGGGCAUAUAGCCCUCGCUUUUCUGAACCGUAAGGUGGUUCAGGAACAAGGACUGGGCAAGACCGGUGCCAGCCGCCGCGGUAAUACCGGCAGUCCGAGUGAUGGCCGAUAUUAUUGGGCCUAAAGCGUCCGUAGCCGGCCGGACAAGUCCGUUGGGAAAUCGACGCGCUCAACGCGUCGGCGUCCAGCGGAAACUGUCCGGCUUGGGGCCGGAAGACCUGAGGGGUACGUCCGGGGUAGGAGUGAAAUCCCGUAAUCCUGGACGGACCACCGAUGGCGAAAGCACCUUGAGAGGACGGACCCGACGGUGAGGGACGAAAGCCAGGGUCUCGAACCGGAUUAGAUACCCGGGUAGUCCUGGCCGUAAACGAUGUUCGCUAGGUGUGGCGCAGGCUACGAGCCUGCGCUGUGCCGUAGGGAAGCCGUGAAGCGAACCGCCUGGGAAGUACGUCUGCAAGGAUGAAACUUAA